rnacentral:hammerhead_ribozyme from 1 species
UCCCAGCUGACGAGUCCCAUAUAGGACGAAACGCGCGUCCUGGAC